rnacentral:misc_RNA from 1 species
GAUGAAGAACGUAGCGAAAUGCGAUACUUGGUGUGAAUUGCAGAAUCCCGCGAACCAUCGAGUCUUUGAACGCAAGUUGCGCCCGAAGCCAUUAGGCCGAGGGCACGCCUGCCUGGGCGUCACACGUCGUUGCCCCCCCAUCUACUCCUUCGGGAUUGCGGGGGGCGGAUGAUGGCCUCCCGUGCGCCUCGUCGCGCGGUUGGCAUAAAUGCCAAGUCCUCGGCGACGCACGCCACGACAAUCGGUGGUUGCGAAACCUCGGUUGCCCGUCGUGUGCGGUCGUCGCGCAUCGAGGGCUCGAAAAAAUUGCCGGGCUCCGGCUCGGCUUUCAACGCGACCCCAGGUCAGGCGGGGUUACCCGCUGAAUUUAAGCAUAUCAAUAAGCGGAGGA